CACCGUCUUUAGUGCAAACACAACGCAGUCCAGAGACUGACUCUAUCUGCAGUAUUCAUAAUUAUAAUGUAUGAAAAAAUUUCAUAAUUAAAAAAAUAUUCACCGCAAUCUUGAGAUAUAUUACUGACCUUGUCAUUCUUACACCUGGUUUAUUAUCAACUUCACGGUCACCAAUUGGAUUCUCCGGAAAUCCCACAUCGAUAUCAUUAUAUAGCAGGCCUGUGUAAUAAUCUUGCGACUGAUAUUGUGUCUCUGAAGGAUAUAAAUCUUUCUCUAUGUAUAGCGACACACAUCCAUAAUGUUCAAACAAUCCAAUUAAUCCCUCCAAUAAUUCAUCAUCUACUAUAUCAUGAGCAAUAUAUUCAUUUACUNUGCAUAUAAUAUUAAUUUAUCAUAAAUUUAUUUAUCUUAUUUAUGGUCAAAUUAGAAUAUAUAAAGUUUAAAUUUGAUUGCGAUAUUAUGCUUUAAAUUAUCGUAUCUAUAUUCUUAUUUUGACCGGAUGAACAUGAAAAUUAAAUAAGCAUAAUUGUUUUUGAUUAUUUAAUAUUUGGCGCUAAGUUGAAUUAAUUUAUUAUUUCGAUUAGUUAGGUGCAAGCCAAAGCGGCCCUAAUUAAAAGAAAUGAUAAUUUAAUUUACUUUAAAGUAGCGUUUUCGAAUAAUUUUCAUGUCUAUCGUGCAGUACUAAGUCAGAUUAAUUUAUUGCUUCAACUGUUCGGGUGCAAGCCAAAGCGGCCCCGACUGGAAGAAAAGAUAAAUUAAUUGCUUUAAAGAUGUGCAUGCAGAAAUUGCACCCUAAUAUUUAGUUUGCUCCCAAAGCAGGUCUAGACAUGAAGGUAAAUAGGUGGUGUAGGAUGAUAAUUUUCUUAUAACUCGUUUGGAGAAAUUUGCCUGGCCAAAGCUGACAAUUUCUUUAUAUGAAAAUUUUGAGAUUAUCACGACCUACAGAAAGUUUAAAUUAAUCUCUGAUAAAGAGAUUGCAUAUUUAUGCUCAUAACUCUGCUCCCAAAGGAGGGGUUGUGAUGUCAUAUAAAGGAUAUGCAUAAGGAAUGAUUCCAUAUUUAUGCUCAUAACUCUGCUCCCAAAGGAAAGGUUGUGAUGUCAUAUAAAGCAUAUGCAUAAAGAACGAAGAAUACUUAUACUCAUAACUCUGCUCUCAAAGGAGGGGUUGUGAUGUCAUAUAAAGUGUAUUUUUUUAAUCUUGGUGUGGUAAUUUUGAUGUGGUAUUUUAUUGAUAAAACAUGCAUUUUUUAUUUUU
rnacentral:lncRNA from 1 species